UACUCUUUGGCAAUUUUACAGACAUACGGUAACGUUAAUUGUAAAUCCCAGAAAGUCCAUAGUUGUGGACGUCGUCAACUUAGAUUUAUCUGGAUGGAGAUGACCCCAGAGUUUCACCCAAUGUUUGGUAGCUAAAACUGCUGAUUUAGCUAGAUCCAGGGUUUUUCCCCACAAUUGAUAUAUCAUCAAGAUAUGCCAUGACAAUAUGUUUUUGUUUCUAAUAUUGCCAAGGCCAGUUUUAAUAUCUUGGUGAACAGUCUUGGGGCUGAAGUUAGCUGAUUAGGCAACGCUAUGCCCUGCCAUAGUUGCCCCAUCCAGUUAAAUUUUAGGUAUCGACAAUGAUCCCUCCAUGUCUCCCAAAACAAGUUUAAUAUUCUCCCUGUUAGUACAGGUCAUACAACUUUGUGUUCUGGAAGGAACCAGAUCCACUUACCUCCCUGGUUGCCGGUGGUACGCCCCUUUCUUCAAUUUCAGCCUCUUCUGCGGAAGAGGCGCCGGAGUGCGGGGUUGGCACAUUUUCCAUGAGGGUCGCUCUGGGCCUUGGUUUAAAAAAAGGGCCUUUGUGGUGCUGCGCGGCCCUCAUGCUUUCACCAGCGUCCUGGUGUUGAUACCUGCUGGUGGCUGCAUAGGGGUGCAGUAGUUGCUGAUGAUGCUGUUAUGAGCCCGAUGGCUUUAAACUCUUUGUUGAGCUUUUUUACUUGUUUCCCCCCUGGUUGUGUUGCAGCUGUUUCUCACAACCUUGCAAAUUUGGGGUUUAGUGCAGGUUUACUGUGCUCUCGCAAGGAAUUGAUUUCAUAGUGGGUAUUGUCAAUCCUGCUGUCAUCUCUGUACCAUCAUCUAGGCGAGCAACCAAUGAUAUGCCCGCUGUCAGAAGUUUUAAAUCUUCUGUCGUUUGACAUCCUGGGUUUUUGUGACAGUCCCACUGUACCCCCAGAUCGCAUUGUUUGCUGCAGGCAUAUUUAAUGAAGUAAAGUUCACAGGAGGCCUAUACUUCUCUGUAAUUCCGUUACCUGUUCCUGCAGAGGAUGGAAGUACAGGUAGUCGAUGCUGGCCACCAGCUUGGUCUGCAAUGGUACUUUUCGUUGAUCCGUAAUUUUGGUGAUCACUCCCAGUAGCUGCUUAGGAUUCUGCACCCCCUGCACACUGCUGUUUUCUUCAGCCACUUCCCCUUCUUCAGGACCAGCCCAGCCCUGGUCCACAAUGCUCUCCUCUGUCGAGGGAGAUGCAUUGUUUUACAGCCCUCGAUAAGGUGCUGUUGUGGGAGUGCGAAGACUCCCAUAGUGAGCUUGCUCCAUCUCCCGGAGCAAGUCACAGGCGGACCUCUGCUGCACUCGGGCAGCGCGCCCCCUCGGCCGGACUCAGAUGAGUAUGAUCGGCUGGGCUGAAUCCUGCUGGGCUUUGCCUCCAGCCUGCUGCGCUGAUUUGAGCUGUACGACUCAUGGCGCUGGAUUCAGCUUGGCAGAGUUGGAGUCGGUGGCUUAUGAGUCCAACCCUGGCUUUACUCGUCACAGAACAAAGACGCCUGUGCGUGUGUUUGUUUAACGUGCACUUGAUGUUACACUCCACGAAGCACACGGUCCUUCACAAAUCAAUCAACUUAUUCCAAUGGCAAGGGAACCAAGACGAUUGGAGCUGAUAGAUCUGUUGCAGCCUUCAUCCGCCUUCACAGCCAUUGAGGUCAAGAUAACUUUGUCUGCCUGUUCCGCCAUUGAGGUCUUGUAGGUUGGAUCAUUCUUAGUCUGGACCCUCAUCCUCGACCUUGCCGCCAUGGGAGGCCCUACCAGAAGCUGGUACUUCCGAUGGCAUUGCUUUCUGAAUCAUUGGGGCUCGCAAGCCUCUUCACCACGACAAGGUACCUCAGGGCCCACCAUCUAAUGCAGAUGGCAAACCACUUGCAAAACAAUUCAAGAGCUGAUCAACGGCAGAGGGAAGAAAAUUGAGUCCUUUUCAAUGGACGCUGAGUGAAGCUUCAAUACGUUUUGUAUUGAGGUGCUUAACCGACCUGCCCCUGGCUUAAUGUUUUAUGAUUGCUUGCAAUAGAUUUUAAUAGUAUUAUCGAUCAUUUCUACACAGGUUUGAUUUUGAUGCUAGUUUCUGUUCAUCAGUCUUCUGGGCUUGUGUGUUCACUGUAUUAGCGAUGAAGUUUAAUAAUAAAUCAUUCGCUCAUGUUCAUCUCUCGUUACAGUGUUGAAGAAGACCAUUUUUAUCAUUGUGCCAAGACCCGGAGGGGCACAUUGGCGCAGCAGUAGAGUCGCUGCCUCAGAGACCCAGGUUCCAUCCAGACUACAAAUUGGGUAUUUGCAAAGUGUUGUCUGUGCGGAGUUUGUGCCUUCUCCCCAUAGCCGCCUGGGAUUUCUCCAGGUACUCCGGUUUCCUCCCACAGUCCAAGGUUUGUAGCUAAAUUGGCUUAUAUAAAUUGUCCCUGGUGUGUAAGGAGUAACCAUAUAAUAACCAUAUAACAAUUACAGCAUGGAAACAGGCCAUUUCGACCCUUCUAGUCCGUGCCGAACACAUAAUCUCCCCUAGUCCCACAUGCCUGCGCUCAGACCAUAACCCUCCAUUCCCUUCCCAUCCAUAUAACUAUCCAAUUUAUUUUUAAAUGAUAAAAACGAACCUGCCUCCACCACCUUCACUGGAAGCUCAUUCCACACAGCCACCACUCUCUGAGUAAAGUUCCCCCUCAUGUUACCCCUAAACUUCAGUCCCUUAAUUCUCAAGUCAUGUCCCCUUGUUUGAAUCUUCCCUACUCUCAGUGGGAAAAGCUUUUCCACGUCAACUCUGUCUAUCCCUCUCAUCAUUUUAAAAACCUCUAUCAAGUCCCCCCUUAACCUUCUGCGCUCCAAAGAAUAAAGCCCUAACUUGUUCAACCUUUCUCUGUAACUUAGUUGCUGAAACCCAGGCAACAUUCUAGUAAAUCUGAUGUGAUACCUAGGAUAACAUAGAACUAGUGUAAUCGGAUGAUCGAUGAUCGGUGUGAACUCGAUGGGCCGAAGGCUGAAGGGACUGUUUCCAUGUUGUAUCUCUGAACUAAAUUAAACUAAACAAGGAUCCUCAUAAUCCUCAGUUGGUUGAGGCCACAGUUCUAUUGUUGCCAUAAUUCAUGGGAAAUGGACAAAUUAGGAAUAUUCUAGAAAGGGGGACAGAUGAAGAAUCGGAGUGCUCGCUUUUUAAUAUUCACUUAAUAGACUUGGAAAUAAUUUACUGGUUGCACUUGCUGACUAGGGUUGCCCUUGCUUUUGUAGCACGCUGUAUAAUGAGCUGAACAGGCAGUGUUUUAAUGUGAUCGAUGAUUAGCUGAAUUUGAAAUGGUUCCAGGCACUUAGCUUACAUUCUCCACUGUGAAACGUUGGCUCGUUCUCAGACCCUGGUCCUUCGUGCCUCUUCCAUUGCCAACUUUUGCCAUUGAGUGAGUGAUCACCAGUGCCAUGUUUUGUUUAGUUUAGGGGCGGCACAGUGGCGCAGUGGUAGAGUUGCUGCCUUACAGUGCCAGAGGCUCUGGCUCGAUCCUGAACUUGGGUGCUGUCUGUACUGAGUUUGUGCUUUUUCCCUGUGACCCUGUGAGUUUUCUCUGUGUGCUCUGAUUUCCUUCGACAUUCCAAAGACAUGCAAGUUUGUAGGUUAAUUGGAUCCUGUAAAUUGUCCCUUAUGUGCAGGAUAGAACUAGCGUAUGGGUGAUCUCUGGUCGGCAUGGACUCGGUGGGCUGAAGGGCCUAUUUUCAAACUAAAGAAAACUAAAAAUUGAAUGAACGUUUUAGUUUAGUCUAGUCUAGUUUAGUUGAGCUUAGUUUAGUUCAGUUUAUUGCCACGUUUACCAAGGUACAGUGAAAAGCUUUUGUCAUGUGCUAACCAGUCAGCAGAAAGAGCCAUCCAAAGUGUGCAGAUGCAUGAUCAUUAUUCAGUCCUGCAUGCUCACAGCAGCUACAUGCACACAGGUGAUGCAUGUUCCACAUUAGUGGGGUGGGUAGUAUACUCAGUGGGCUGAAGGGCCUAUUUCCAAGCUGUUUCCCUCAAUCAAUUAAUCAAAAUGAAGUGUCAAAGCUAUAAGAAAAUGGGCCCAUCAUUUUAAUCUGUGCAAAGAUCACCCCUUUGCACCAGUUAUAUAUUGUCCCAUUGUCCCGCUGUUGCAUCCACUUCCUACACACUAGGGACGAUUUACAGAGGGCCAAUUAACCUACUAACCCACAUGUCUUUGGGAUAUGGAAGGAAAGCUGAGCACCCAGAGGAAACCCAGAGAGAAUGUACAAUCUCCAUACAUAGACAGCACCUGAAGGCAGGAUUGAACCCGGGUCUCUGAUGCUGUGAGACAGCGCCUCGACUAGCUGCGCCACUCUUCAAAGAUCUUGUACUGGCGAAAACAGCAAGCCGGCUUCUUUCACUUGAUGGUUCUUUAGACGAUCAGAGUGUGAGAUUUAAUGAACAUCGCUUUAGACAGUUGUACAGAUAACAUAGGUGUUCAUUGUGUUCAAACGGACAUGAUUAUCAAUUUAGGCACAAAAUGCUGGGGUAACUCAGCUGGACAGGCAGCAUCUUUAGAUAGAAGGAAUGGCUGACGUUUCAGGUUGAGACACUUCUAUAGACUGAGGGUCAGGGGAAAG